GAUGAACGCUAGCGACAGGCCUAACACAUGCAAGUCGAGGGGCAGCACAUGAGGCAGCAAUGCGGAUGGUGGCGACCGGCGCACGGGUGAGUAACACGUAUGCAACCUGCCUUCAACAAGGGGAUAACCCGUUGAAAGACGGACUAAUACCCUAUAACACAGGGGUCCCGCAUGGGAAUAUUUGUUAAAGGACAACCGGUUGAAGAUGGCCCUGCGGCGCAUUAGCUAGUUGGUGAGGUAACGGCCCACCAAGGCGACGAUGCGUAGCUGAGCUGAGAGGCUAAACAGCCACACUGGGACUGAGACACGGCCCAGACUCCUACGGGAGGCAGCAGUAGGGAAUUUUCGGCAAUGGGGGAAACCCUGACCGAGCAAUGCCGCGUGAACGAUGAAGGUCUUCGGAUUGUAAAGUUCUGUGAUUGGGGAAGAAUGGUAUUCUUAGGGAAUGAGGAGUACAUGACGGUACCCGAUUAGAAAGCCCCGGCUAACUAUGUGCC
rnacentral:rRNA from 1 species